rnacentral:rRNA from 1 species
UACAGAGGUCUCAAGCGUUGUUCGGAUUCAUUGGGCGUAAAGGGUGCGUAGGCGGCGCGGUAAGUCGGGUGUGAAAUCUUGGAGCUUAACUCCGAAACUGCAUUCGAUACUGCCGUGCUUGAGGAUUGCAGAGGAGACUGGAAUUCCCGGUGUAGCGGUGAAAUGUGUAGAGAUCGGGAGGAACACCGGUGGCGAAGGCGGGUCUCUGGGCAAUUCCUGACGCUGAGGCGCGAAAGCGUGGGGAGCAAACGGG